GACCCUUACGAGCUGGAAUAUACAUACAUGGUGCCACACUGUACUUCUGCACCCUGCCUCAGAAAUCCUCAAGAUUUAAAGGAUCGCCAUGGCAAGACUGCAGAGAACGAGUGAGGUAUGGAGGGAAAGGAUGCUUGGCAGCUAGACUCGGAGAAGACAGAGUCAUUAGAACAUCCUGUGGAGAUGCGGUACAUAGACACAGGAAGAAGAAUGAACUGUUUGGGACCUGGGCUAUAAUUAAAUGAGAGUGUUUCCUGACUUCCUGGGAAGAAGAGAACAAACAUCAAUUGACUCCACCGAGGGCUUCAACAACAGACCAAAGAAAUGAUUCUACUCAACUCCAGUGUGGGAAACCAAUGAGUUUAUAAAAGAGCAGGAAAGAGGAUCAUUCCAGCAUGGGUGACAACUCAUGAAAGCUGUAGCCAUGAAUCUCCUUGCUCAACUUGUGAUCAGAUCCACUGAAGACAACCCAUUCUAUAUUUCUAUAAGGAAAUAUGAUUUCCUUAUAGAGGUGGCCUCAUGAGGUUCCUAACUUUGGUAAACUUCUCAAGUCUUGUAAAUUUCAUGAACUUUCUGAGGCAUGAAAACAUCCAACUUGUUUCCAGGAGGGGUGUUUCUGUUUGGGGACAAAGCUACACAACAGACAGAAAAUACAUUUGGCUGAAGAGUAAUCAGAACCUUCUUGAGAAAACAGGCCAGUAUUUCCUUCAAACGCUAAGCAGAGGUUGCCAGUUCCUACUCAGCAGUCCCAUUUUUAUGUACAUAGUCAAAAGACAAAAAUGGCUGGGCAGUGGUGGCACACGCCUAUCAUCUCAGCAUUCGAGAGGCAGAGGUAGGCAGAUCUCUGA